rnacentral:rRNA from 1 species
AAUGAACACUGGCGGCGUGGAUUAGGCAUGCAAGUCGAGCGGCAGCAGGCCCUUCGGGGCGCUGGCGAGCGGCGAACGGGUGAGUAACGCGUGAGCAACCUGCCCCAAAGUCGGGGUUAGCCCGGGGAAACUCGGAUUAAUACCUGAUGUGGCGUAGCUCUGUUGGGAGCUACAGCUAAAGGCUUCGGCCGUUUUGGGAUGGGCUCGCGUACCAUCAGCUAGUUGGUAGGGUAACGGCCUACCAAGGCAACGACGGUUAGGUGGUCUGAGAGGAUGGUCACCCACACUGGGACUGAGACACUGCCCAGACUCCUACGGGAGGCUGCAGUCGAGAAUCUUCCGCAAUGCGCGAAAGCGUGACGGAGCGACGCCGCGUGCGGGAUGAAGGCCUCGGGUCGUAAACCGCUGUCACCCGGGAUGACAACAGACAGUACCGGGCAGAGGAAGCCACGGCUAACUACGUGCCAGCAGCCGCGGUAAUACGUAGGUGGCGAGUGUUAUUCGGAUUUACUGGGCGUAAAGGGUUUCGUAGGGGGCAUGUCAAGUCCGGCGUGAAAGCCCGCGGCUCAACCGCGGAAUGUCGUUGGAAACUGACAAGCUAGAGGGCCGGAGAGGAAAGUGGAAUUCCUGGUGUAGCGGUGGAAUGCGUAGAUAUCAGGAGGAACACCGAUGGCGAAGGCAGCUUUCUGGACGGUACCUGACCUGAGGAACGAAAGCUGGGGUAGCAAAACAGGAUUAGAUACCCUGGUAGU